rnacentral:lncRNA from 1 species
CACUAACUCAAGUAGGGGAUUUGCUCUAUAGGCCGAAAAGAAAGCAUUUUUUAGAUACUUAUUACAGGCCCGACCAGGAGUGCGAAAGAGCUUGAUUUAGAAUUAGAGUAAGGGCAUGCUAAGACAUUCCUUUUCUUGCUUUCGACAGGACCCCUUUCUGACAGGAGAAAGAAGAUUAUGCCAAUUGCCAAUGGAGUUGAUAGCGAUUACGACUAACAAGGGCAGGAGAUGAAUGAACGAAUCGUACUACAACUGUUGAAGAGAGAUCAGAGCUAGUACUAGAAGAAGCGAUAGCAGACAAAAGAGCUCAGAGAGCAGUGCAGCUAGGUGGGAAGAUCUGUAAUCUAUUUGAAAGAGCAUAUCACAAAGACCGAUAUAUUGCACAUACUGAUUGAUUAAAUAGAUUGAGUCUCAAUUAGAGAGACUUAUGAUCUAUUUAUAGUACCCCCACCGAUGAGACUUUCCAACUCGAGGCUAGAAGCUACC